ensembl:lncRNA novel transcript, sense intronic to ZBTB43
UUUUUUUUUUUUUUUUUUUUUUUACAAAUAGUCUGUGGCAACCCUGCAUUAAGGAAGUCUAUCAGCAUCAUUUUUCCUGUUGCACAUGUUUACUUUCUGUUUCUGUGUCAUAUUUUGGCAGUUCUUGCAAUAUUUCAAAACUUUUCAUUAUUAUUAUAUCUGUUAUGGUGAUCUUUGAUCAGUAAUUUUUUGAUGUUACUAUUGUAAUUGUUUUGAGGCACCACAAACCACACCCAUAAGGGACAGCAAACUUAGUCAAUAAAUGUGUGUUCUGACUACUCCACUGACCCACCAUUCCCCCAUCUUUCCCCCUCUGUUCAGGCCUCCCUAUUACGUGAUACACAACCACUUGAAUUUAGGCCAAUUAAUAAACCUACAAUGGCCUGGUGUUUAAGUGAAAGGAGGAGUCAUAUGCUUCUUACUUGAAAUCAAAAGCUAGAAAUGACUAAGCUUAGUGAGGAAGGCAUAUCAAAAGCAAACAUAAGCCAAAAGUUAGACUUCUUGCUCUAAACAGCCAAAUUGUGAAUGCAAAGGAAAAGUUAUUGAAGGAAAUUGAAAGUGCUACUCUAAUGAACACAUGAAUGAUAAGAAAGUGGCAGCCUUAGUGCUGAGAGAAAGUUUUAGUGGUCUGAAUGGAAGGUCAUACCAACCACAACAUUCCUUUAAGCCAAAGCCGUCAGAAGAAGACCCUAACUCUCUUCAUUUCUCUGAACACUGUGAGAGAGGUGAGGAAACUGCAGAAGAAAAGUUUGAAGCUAGCAGAGGUUGGUUUGUGAGGUUGAAGGAAAGAAGUGUCUCCGUAAUGUAAAAGUGCAAGCUGAAGCAGCAAGUGCUAAUGUAGAAACUAUAGCAAGCUAUCUAGAAAAUCUAGCUAAGAUAAUUGGUAAAGAUGGCUGCACUAAACCACAGAUUUUCAAUAUAGAUGAAAAAGCCUUCUAUUGGAAGGAGAUGCUAUCUAUGACUUCCAUAGCUAGAGAGGAGAAGACAAUACCUGGCUUCAAAAGACAAGUUAUAACUCUCUCAUUAGGGGCUAAUGCAGCUGGUAACUUUAAGUUGAGGCCACUGCUCAGGUACCAUUCCCAAAAUCCUAGGGCCCUUAAGAAUUAUGCUAAGUAUACUCUGCCUGUGCUCCAUAGAUGGCACAGUGAAAGCUUGGAGACAGCAUUUACAGAAUGCUUUACUGAAUAUUUUAAGCCCACUGUUGAGACCUACUGCUCAGAAAAAGAUUUUUUACAAAGCAUUACUGCUCAUUGAGAAGGCACUUGGUCACCCAAGAGCUCUGAUGGAGAUGUACAAGGACAUUAGUAUUGUUUUCAUGCCUGUUAAUACAACAUCCAUUCUGCAGCCCAUGGACCAAGGAGUAAUUUCAAUUUUCAAGUGUUAUUAUUUAAGAAAUACAUUUUGAGCCAGGUGCAGCAGCUCACACCUGUAAUCCUAGCACUUCGGGAGGCCAAGGCAGGCAGAUUGCUUAAGCCUAGGGGUCCAAGACCAACCUGAGCAGCAUACAAAACCCUAUCUAUACUGAAAAUGCAAAAAAUUAGUGAAGCGUGGUGUCAUGCACUUGUAGUCCCACCUACCCAGGAUGCAGAGGUGGGAGGAUCACGUGAGCCAGAGAGUCGAGGCUGCAGUGAGCCACAAUCGCACCACUGCACUCCAGCCUGGGUGACAAAGUGAGACCCCCAUCUCAAAAAAAAAAAAAAAAAAAA